UUGGGCAACUGGAGAACCGCCCCAGGUGUGGUUUCCCAGCCCUCCACUCCGCACCCCACUCACCACCUCACUCCACACAUCUCCUCAUUCCACGCAUCUCCUCACUCCACACAUCUCCUCACUCCACACAUCUCACUCCACACAUCUCACUCCACACAUCUCACUCCACACAUCACCUCACUCCACGCAUCUCACUCCACACAUCUCACUCCACGCAUCUCACUCCACACGUCUCACUCCACACAUCAUACUCCACACAUCUCACUCCACACAUCUCCUCAUUCCACACAUCUCACUCCACACAUCACCUCACUCCACGCAUCUCACUCCACACAUCUCACUCCACACAUCUCACUCCACACAUCACCUCACUCCACGCAUCUCACUCCACACAUCAUACUCCACACAUCUCACUCCACACAUCUCACUCCACACAUCUCAC
rnacentral:lncRNA from 1 species